rnacentral:rRNA from 1 species
UAGUCCACGCCGUAAACGAUGAAUACUAGGUGUGGGGGUUUCGAUACCUCCGUGCCGCCGCUAACGCAUUAAGUAUUCCGCCUGGGGAGUACGGUCGCAAGAUUAAAACUCAAAGGAAUUGACGGGGACCCGCACAAGCAGCGGAGCAUGUGGUUUAAUUCGAAGCAACGCGAAGAACCUUACCUACACUUGACAUCCCUUGCAUUACCCGUAAUUGGGGAAAUCUCUUCGGAGACAAGGUGACAGGUGGUGCAUGGUUGUCGUCAGCUCGUGUCGUGAGAUGUUGGGUUAAGUCCCGCAACGAGCGCAACCCCUAUUGUUAGUUGCUACUAUUAAGUUAAGCACUCUAGCGAGACUGCCUGGGUUAACCAGGAGGAAGGUGGGGACGACGUCAAAUCAUCGUGCCCCUUAUGUGUAGGGCUGCACACGUGCUACAAUGGCUGGUACAGAGAGACGCGAGACCGUGAGGUGGAGCAAAUCCCAGAAAACCAGUCCCAGUUCGGAUUGAAGGCUGAAACUCGCCUUCA